rnacentral:rRNA from 1 species
AUGAACGCUGGCGGCGUGCCUAAUACAUGCAAGUCGAGCGAACAGACGAGGAGCUUGCUCCUCUGACGUUAGCGGCGGACGGGUGAGUAACUCGUGGAUAACCUACCUAUAAGACUGGGAUAACUUCGGGAAACCGGAGCUAAUACCGGAUAAUAUAUUGAACCGCAUGGUUCAAUAGUGAAAGACGGUUUUGCUGUCACUUAUAGAUGGAUCCGCGCCGCAUUAGCUAGUUGGUAAGGUAACGGCUUACCAAGGCAACGAUGCGUAGCCGACCUGAGAGGGUGAUCGGCCACACUGGAACUGAGACACGGUCCAGACUCCUACGGGAGGCAGCAGUAGGGAAUCUUCCGCAAUGGGCGAAAGCUUGACGGAGCAACGCCGCGUGAGUGAUGAAGGUCUUCGGAUCGUAAAACUCUGUUAUUAGGGAAGAACAAAUGUGUAAGUAACUAUGCACGUCUUGACGGUACCUAAUCAGAAAGCCACGGCUAACUACGUG